rnacentral:tmRNA from 1 species
GGGCCAGACUGGAUUUGACAGCAAGCCGAUGUGGUGUGUAAGCAUGCAGUGCGGAUGAAGGUGGGCACUUUAAUCUCGGCUUUCAAAAAUUUAAUUGGCGAAAACAACUACGCUCUCGCUGCUUAAUCGAAGCACAGUAGAUAAGCUUUAUUCCGACACAAGGUGUUGGAACGAGACAUCACCCAAGAGCUGUUUUUCCGAAGCGUCUUGAUAUGGUGGUGCAGGUAAAUCGGGAAUAGUUUUGUGCGGCCCUGCGUGCAGGAUGAAGUUUUAAGGGAUAAGGUUCCGAUUGGUGGCUUCGGUCUUGUCGGUGCUCGAAAAUCUAAGCGAAGAUAAGCAUGUAGAAAGCAUAUUGCUUCCUUGUUUGGACGAGGGUUCAAUCCCCUCCUGGUCCACUU